rnacentral:RNase_P_RNA from 1 species
GAAACAAACUGUCCUGUCGCUCCCGGUAAAACGGGGGAGGAAAGUCCGGGCAGCAAAGAGCACCACACUUCCUAACCGGAAGGUCCUUCAUCCGUAAGGAAGGAGGAACAGAAAGUGCCACAGAGAACGAUACCGCCCGGUAGUGUAUGCUGCCGGGUAAGGGUGAAAACGUGAGGUAAGAGCUCACGGCCAUGGCAGCGAUGCCAUGUGCGGGUAAACCUUGUGGGCUGAAAGGCCAAAUAGGUUGAGGGUAAAGGCUGCUCGUCUGAUUUGAUCCGUGAAAGCGGAUCAUACCUCAAUGGGUAGGCUGAUCCAGGUGAUGCGUGAGUAUCAUCGCAGAUAAAUGACAGGAGCCUGCAUGGCAGGUGACAGAACCCGGCUUACAGGUUUGUUUCAUUU